rnacentral:rRNA from 1 species
GACGAACGCUGGCGGCGUGCUUAACACAUGCAAGUCGAACGGAAAGGCCCUGCUUUUGUGGGGUGCUCGAGUGGCGAACGGGUGCGUAACACGUGAGUAACCUGCCCUUGACUUUGGGAUAACUUCAGGAAACUGGGGCUAAUACCGGAUAGGAGCUCCUGCUGCAUGGUGGGGGUUGGAACGUUUCGGCGGUUGGGGAUGGACUCGCGGCUUAUCAGCUUGUUGGUGGGGUAGUGGCUUACCAAGGCUUUGACGGGUAGCCGGCCUGAGAGGGUGACCGGCGACAUUGGGACUGAGAUACGGCCCAGACUCCUACGGGAGGCAGCAGGGGGGAAUAUUGCACAAUGGGCGGAAGCCUGAUGCAGCAACGCCGCGUGCGGGAUGACGGCCUUCGGGGUGUAAACCGCUUUCGCCUGUGACGAAGCGUGAGUGACGGUAAUGGGUAAAGAAGCACCGGCUAACUACGUG